UACGAAGGGGGCUAGCGUUGUUCGGAUUUACUGGGCGUAAAGCGCGCGUAGGCGGGUCGCUAAGUCAGGGGUGAAAUCCCGAGGCUUAACCUCGGAACUGCCUUUGAUACUGACGACCUGGAGAUCGGGAGAGGUUGGUGGAAUUCCGAGUGUAGAGGUGAAAUUCGUAGAUAUUCGGAGGAACACCAGAAGCGAAGGCGGCCAACUGGCCCGAUACUGACGCUGAGGCGCGAAAGCGUGGGGAGCAAACAGG
rnacentral:rRNA from 2 species